rnacentral:rRNA from 1 species
GUGGGGAAUAUUGGACAAUGGGGGGAACCCUGAUCCAGCCAUGCCGCGUGUGUGAAGAAGGCCUUUUGGUUGUAAAGCACUUUAAGCGAGGAGGAGGCUACCGAGAUUAAUACUCUUGGAUAGUGGACGUUACUCGCAGAAUAAGCACCGGCUAACUCUGUGCCAGCAGCCGCGGUAAUACAGAGGGUGCAAGCGUUAAUCGGAUUUACUGGGCGUAAAGCGCGCGUAGGUGGCCAAUUAAGUCAAAUGUGAAAUCCCCGAGCUUAACUUGGGAAUUGCAUUCGAUACUGGUUGGCUAGAGUAUGGGAGAGGAUGGUAGAAUUCCAGGUGUAGCGGUGAAAUGCGUAGAGAUCUGGAGGAAUACCGAUGGCGAAGACAGCCAUCUGGCCUAAUACUGACACUGAGGUGCGAAAGCAUGGGGAGCAAACAGGAUUAGAUACCCCAGUAGUCC